UAUAAUGUAACAGCAAACGCCUAUGCGCGAAAUUGUCUGCUUGAAAAUUUCUUAACUGUGACCUAUUUUGUUUAAUUUGAAUGAAAUCAUCAUGCUUCAAGUG
rnacentral:lncRNA from 1 species